UUUCGUUUUUUUCACGUUUGGACUGUUUCCAUGGCAACGGUAGCCAUUUUGAAAGUUUUUAAGAUGGAUUUCACGCUUUCGCCUGACCAGUUACAAUGUCUGAAAGUUUCAUUAAAUUUGGACCAUUUUUCGGUUUUUCACAUUUUUGCCGUUUCCAUGGUAACGGCGGCCAUCUUGAAAAUUCCAGACCCUAACUGCACAUCUGCACAUGGGGAUUGUCAUUAUGGUACAGUUUUAUCAAUGUAUGUCUAGUCAUCUCCGAGAACUCGGCUGGACAAAAAGUGUGGAAGAAAAAUUUGGAACAAUAACAAUAUAUCACCCCUAUUUCCAUAGGGGUGACAUAAUAAUACGCAAAAGUCGAUUGUUCAACAGAGAAUUAAAGGUAUUUUCUUUCAUAAACUCAACGUAAACGAUAUGUGGAUUGGUUGAUUGAUGGUUUGUGAUCAUGAUUGAUCAAUCAUUGAUUGAUUAAUCAUUGAUUGACUUGAUCGACUGAUUGGCAGUUUGAAAAAUGGUACGGGGACUUUUUUUUCGAUAUCUGCACUUGAUUCAUUACUUGUUUGAUAUCAAAACUUGAUUGAUUGAUCUCUUAUCAUGAUUUGAUCACUUCAAUCAUGAUUUGAUUGAUUGAUCAAUACUUUGUAUAGCAUAAAUUGACACAGUUUGCAUUGAUUUAUUCCUUAUCUGUACGUUUUCUGCUGUUCAGUGACAAAUAUCAGUGCAC
rnacentral:lncRNA from 1 species